GACGAACGCUAGCUACAGGCUUAACACAUGCAAGUCGAGGGGCAGCAUUGGAGUAGCAAUACUUCAGAUGGCGACCGGCGCACGGGUGAGUAACACGUAUCCAACCUGCCGCUUACUCGGGGAUAGCCUUUCGAAAGAAAGAUUAAUACCCGAUGGUAUAAAGAGUUCGCAUGUUCUCUUUAUUAAAGAAUUUCGGUAAGCGAUGGGGAUGCGUUCCAUUAGAUAGUUGGCGGGGUAACGGCCCACCAAGUCUACGAUGGAUAGGGGUUCUGAGAGGAAGGUCCCCCACAUUGGAGCUGAGACACGGUCCAAACUCCUACGGGAGGCAGCAGUGAGGAAUAUUGGUCAAUGGACGCGAGUCUGAACCAGCCAAGUAGCGUGAAGGAUGACUGCCCUAUGGGUUGUAAACUUCUUUUAUAAGGGAAUAAAGUGAGGGACGUGUCCCUUUUUGUAUGUACCUUAUGAAUAAGGAUCGGCUAACUCCGUGCCAGCCGCCGCGGUAAUAC
rnacentral:rRNA from 1 species